GACGAACGCUGGCGGCGUGCUUAACACAUGCAAGUCGAACGGAAAGGCCCCCUUGUGGGGUACUCGAGUGGCGAACGGGUGAGUAACACGUGAGUAACCUACCCUUGACUUUGGGAUAACUUCAGGAAACUGGGGCUAAUACCGGAUAGGAGCUCCUGCUGCAUGGUGGAGGUUGGAAAGUUUCGGCGGUUGGGGAUGGACUCGCGGCUUAUCAGCUUGUUGGUGGGGUAGUGGCUCACCAAGGCUUUGACGGGUAGCCGGCCUGAGAGGGUGACCGGCCACAUUGGGACUGAGAUACGGCCCAGACUCCUACGGGAGGCAGCAGUGGGGAAUAUUGCACAAUGGGCGGAAGCCUGAUGCAGCAACGCCGCGUGCGGGAUGACGGCCUUCGGGUUGUAAACCGCUUUCGCCUGUGACGAAGCGUGAGUGACGGUAAUGGGUAAAGAAGCACCGGCUAACUACGUG
rnacentral:rRNA from 1 species